ensembl:lncRNA
AGCGUAUCUAGUCUUUGUAUAUCUAUGGUUGGCACGUCCAGUAGCAUCUCUGGCUGCUGUUGACCUUGUUUUUGGAGUAAAAUACGGUGGAAGCUGAAUUAGUGAGGAUGACUCCUGCUCCUGUCAUCUCUAAGCUCCUCACACAUCUUUACCUGCACAUGAGGAAAAUCACUCCUGUAGAAUGCAGAUGUUCAGAGGGAGAUGAUGCCACAUCUGGUCCAGCUGAUGGAAGGUCUUGAAGUUCUCUGACUGGCCUCGACUGAAGAUGGUCGUCUCACUGGAUUUAAGGUUCAGAUGCUCAGUAACAAACUCCACCAAUGUGCCAACAGGGAAGCUUUAGGUUUAUUAAAUGUUGCUAUGAAGGUAUCGCUGUUUUUCUUUGUGAAUGCAAUGUGCUUCCAACUGAAACUUGAAUUAGAACUUAGAAGUAAAUCCUUCCAUCUGAAAGGAUUUAUUAUGUAAAUUUACCUCAAUAAUAUGAAUGUUCAGGUUAAGAUUGUACAGUGAUAUUUAUUAUGUAAGUUUAGCUGAUUAAAGUUUAUAACUCUGCACUAAAAUAUUAUUUAAAUUGACAUCAUUAUUAUAAUAUUUAGGGUCAGACCCUACAGUAUUGAGAUUAAGAAAUCAAAUAUUCUAUAAAAUGUAAAUACACUGAACUCAUUUGGAGAUAUUUAAGUGAGACUCUACAAUAUUGUUUGACACAAAUCUAUCUAAAUCAAAAUUUUAAUAAUUUUCACGCCAAUUUUCAUGGACUGAUUUAAAUAUUAAAAUCACUCCUUUCUAAUCCUCUGCUGUACGUUCAAACCUGAGGCCUUAAAUAGAAACACAAGGAUAUGAUUGAAGGAACUUCUGCAGAGUCCUGGUUCCAGAACAUGAUGAUAGAAUUAUAGACAAACUUUAACAAAAGCUGCCUGAGAGUUUACAGGUUUUUAUGUUAGAUUUCUUCAGUAAUUUAAUGAGCGUUAUCAGCAAUAAUCAAGUGUUCAUUUGAUGAACUUCAUUUCCUAAAACAUCCAGAAUUGGAGCUCAUAUCUUUGGCAGCUGUAAAGUUUCUGCUCCUUCAAAGUUCACAACACAAUGAAUGAAUUCCUAAAACACUCUCAAUGCUGGAGAGCGUUUGUGAUGCUGAAGCAGUGACCAGUUUUUCUGUUUCUUCUCUGGAGAUGCACAAUGAGGGACGUCUGCAGAGACUGAGAAAGAGUCUCACCACAUCCUGACAUGAGGAAAAAGACUUUAUUGAAGACUACAAUGAGAAAAACUAUCAGACAACAGACAGCUGCAUUCAAGGUGAGCUCUGAACAUUUGAUCUGGAACAGGAAUUCAAUAACUGCAGCAUGAGCUUCAUUUCAGUCUGUAGCUGCUGAAUUCAUGGAUGAAUCAUCUGGCACUAGAGAGGAAGACCAUCAAACAUCCACGUCAGCUGAUGGAG